rnacentral:misc_RNA from 1 species
GGGUGGCGAGCAGGCAUACUUACAAGUACUUGUACUUUUACACACAUAUUUACCAAUAUGCAGGUAAGCAAACAUGUUACAAAAGCAGUAAUAGAUAGUAUCUGCCAUCUCAUGUUACAAGUGCUUAUGUGCACAUGCGUUCACACACACAAAUGAAAAGACUUGCCUUUAUGCAAGUAAGCACUACUCCAUUUUAAACCUCAUUUUAUU